GCCAGCGUAGCUCAAUCGGUAGAGCGACUGAUUUGUAAUCAGUAGGUUGUGGGUUCGAGUCCCACCGCUGGCUCCA
rnacentral:tRNA from 1 species